UGCAAGUCGAACGGUAGAGGGGGCAACCCCUCGAGAGUGGCGAACGGGUGAGUAAUAUAUCGGAACGUGCCCAGUCGUGGGGGAUAACGUAGCGAAAGUUACGCUAAUACCGCAUACGAUCUAAGGAUGAAAGCGGGGGACCGUAAGGCCUCGCGCGAUUGGAGCGGCCGAUAUCAGAUUAGGUAGUUGGUGAGGUAAAGGCUCACCAAGCCAACGAUCUGUAGCUGGUCUGAGAGGACGACCAGCCACACUGGAACUGAGACACGGUCCAGACUCCUACGGGAGGCAGCAGUGGGGAAUUUUGGACAAUGGACGCAAGUCUGAUCCAGCCAUUCCGCGUGCAGGAUGAAGGCCCUCGGGUUGUAAACUGCUUUUGUACGGAACGAAAAGGUCUCUCCUAAUACGAGGGGCUCAUGACGGUACCGUAAGAAUAAGCACCGGCUAACUACGUGCCAGCAGCCGCGGUAAUACGUAGGGUGCAAGCGUUAAUCGGAAUUACUGGGCGUAAAGCGUGCGCAGGCGGUUAUAUAAGACAGAUGUGAAAUCCCCGGGCUCAACCUGGGAACUGCAUUUGUGACUGUAUAGCUAGAGUACGGUAGAGGGGGAUGGAAUUCCGCGUGUAGCAGUGAAAUGCGUAGAUAUGCGGAGGAACACCGAUGGCGAAGGCAAUCUCCCUGGACCUGUACUGACGCUCAUGCAC
rnacentral:rRNA from 1 species